rnacentral:rRNA from 1 species
AGGACGAACGCUGGCGGCGUGCUUAACACAUGCAAGUCGAACGGUAAGGCCUUCGGGUACACGAGUGGCGAACGGGUGAGUAACACGUGGGUGAUCUGCCCUGCACUUCGGGAUAAGCUUGGGAAACUGGGUCUAAUACCGGAUAUGACUGCGCAUCGCAUGGUGUGUGGUGGAAAGCUUUUGCGGUGUGGGAUGGGCCCGCGGCCUAUCAGCUUGUUGGUGGGGUGAUGGCCUACCAAGGCGACGACGGGUAGCCGGCCUGAGAGGGUGUCCGGCCACACUGGGACUGAGAUACGGCCCAGACUCCUACGGGAGGCAGCAGUGGGGGAAUAUUGCACAAUGGGCGCAAGCCUGAUGCAGCGACGCCGCGUGAGGGAUGACGGCCUUCGGGUUGUAAACCUCUUUCAGUAUCGACGAAGCGUAAGUGACGGUAGGUACAGAGAAGGACCGGCAACUACGUGCCAGCAGCCGCGGU